UCUCGAUUGGUCUAGUGGUGAGGAUACCUGCUUGUCAUUGAGUACUCGUCUAGCUUCUAGUUCAAGCACCAAACAUGCGCAGGUGGCCGGGGUUCGAUUCCCCGAUCGAGAG